rnacentral:rRNA from 1 species
GAUGAACGCUAGCGGCAGGCUUAAUACAUGCAAGUCGUGGGGCAGCAUGGGUGUAGCAAUACAUCUGAUGGCGACCGGCAAACGGGUGCGGAACACGUACACAACCUUCCUUUUAGUGGAGAAUAGCCCAGGGAAACUUGGAUUAAUACUCCGUAACAUAUAGAAGUGGCAUCGCUUUUAUAUUAUAGCAGCAAUGCGCUAGAAGAUGGGUGUGCGGCUGAUUAGAUAGUUGGCGGGGUAACGGCCCACCAAGUCGACGAUCAGUAACUGGUGUGAGAGCACGACCAGUCACACGGGCACUGAGACACGGGCCCGACUCCUACGGGAGGCAGCAGUAAGGAAUAUUGGUCAAUGGACGCAAGUCUGAACCAGCCAUGCCGCGUGGAGGAUGAAGGUCCUCUGGAUUGUAAACUUCUUUUAUCUGGGAAGAAAUCCAUUUUUUCUAAAAUGGUUGACGGUACCAGAUGAAUAAGCACCGGCUAACUCCGUGCCAGCAGCCGCGGUAAUACGGAGGGUGCAAGCGUUAUCCGGAUUCACUGGGUUUAAAGGGUGCGUAGGUGGGCAAGUAAGUCAGUGGUGAAAUCUCCGGGCUUAACCCGGAAACUGCCAUUGAUACUAUUUGUCUUGAAUACUGUGGAGGU